rnacentral:rRNA from 1 species
GACAGAGGUGCCGAGCGUUAGGCGGAAUCACUGGGCUUAAAGCGUGUGUAGGCGGAUCUGUAAGUCCCUUGUGAAAUCCCACGGCUCAACCGUGGAACUGCUUGGUAUACUGCGGGUCUUGAGCUAUCUAGGGGCAACUGGAACAAACGGUGGAGCGGUGAAAUGCGUAGAUAUCGUUUGGAACGCCAAUGGUGAAAACAGGUUGCUGGGGAUAUGCUGACGCUGAGACACGAAAGCCAGGGGAGCAAACGGG